rnacentral:rRNA from 1 species
UACGUAGGGUGCGAGCGUUGUCCGGAAUUAUUGGGCGUAAAGAGCUUGUAGGCGGUCUGUCGCGUCUGCUGUGAAAAUCCGGGGCUCAACCCCGGACUUGCAGUGGGUACGGGCAGACUAGAGUGUGGUAGGGGAGACUGGAAUUCCUGGUGUAGCGGUGAAAUGCGUAGAUAUCGGGAGGAACACCAGUGGCGAAGGCGACUACCUGGCCUGUUCUUGACGCUGAGGCGCGAAAGCUAGGGGAGCAAACGGG